AUCAAAGUGACCAUCUAGUAAUGAUAUCCGACGUCUAGAUAGGUCGACUAUUUAUAAAGCAAUUUUUAAGAAUCUCGAUAUAUGGUUACUGCAUAAUUCAUCUCUUUAAUCCUAAUGCUCAAGGUGACCUAAGGUUUAACUGUCAAUCUUAAAACAGUCAUCUACAUCAUAUUUCAACCUUUUAAAUCUAUCACAUGGAUUACUCUGAUCAAGAUUUUACUAAAUUGAAAUACAAUGAUGCAUUAACUCUUAUAAUUUGGAG
rnacentral:lncRNA from 1 species